rnacentral:rRNA from 1 species
UCCGUAAUCCGGGUUGCGGACAGUGUCUGGUGGGUAGUUUGACUGGGGCGGUCUCCUCCUAAAGAGUAACGGAGGAGCACGAAGGUUGGCUAAUCCUGGUCGGACAUCAGGAGGUUAGUGCAAUGGCAUAAGCCAGCUUGACUGCGAGCGUGACGGCGCGAGCAGGUGCGAAAGCAGGUCAUAGUGAUCCGGUGGUUCUGAAUGGAAGGGCCAUCGCUCAACGGAUAAAAGGUACUCCGGGGAUAACAGGCUGAUACCGCCCAAGAGUUCAUAUCGACGGCGGUGUUUGGCACCUCGAUGUCGGCUCAUCACAUCCUGGGGCUGAAGUAGGUCCCAAGGGUAUGGCUGUUCGCCAUUUAAAGUGGUACGCGAGCUGGGUUUAGAACGUCGUGAGACAGUUCGGUCCCUAUCUGCCGUGGGCGCUGGAGAACUGAGGGGGGCUGCUCCUAGUACGAGAGGACCGGAGUGGACGCAUCACUGGUGUUCGGGUUGUCAUGCCAAUGGCACUGCCCGGUAGCUAAAUGCGGAAGAGAUAAGUGCUGAAAGCAUCUAAGCACGAAACUUGCCCCGA